CUGCGAACGUUCUCGCCGUCCUGAUGUUGUGAUCGUCAGGGUAGGCACAACAUUCGCUAUGUUAGAAACCAUGCAUGUGUCCCCAGACCUAGUUUUCCUCCUUAGGGCUGGUUUUUAGAAUGCUGGUGAUAAAC
rnacentral:snoRNA from 1 species